UAAUUUAUCUAGGGAAAAUCUUCAUCUAGUUAUGGCAGAUUCACACCUGACUGCUUAGAAUCACUAAUUAUUAUAGGAUUGACUACAUCAAAAUUGGUCGGUUUUUUUUGUUUUCAAA
rfam:Populus trichocarpa isolate Nisqually-1 chromosome 1, whole genome shotgun sequence.